rnacentral:rRNA from 1 species
GUGCCAGCCGCCGCGGUAAUACGUAGGUGGCAAGCGUUAUCCGGAAUUAUUGGGCGUAAAGCGCGCGCAGGCGGUUUCUUAAGUCUGAUGUGAAAGCCCACGGCUCAACCGUGGAGGGUCAUUGGAAACUGGGGAACUUGAGUGCAGAAGAGAAAAGCGGAAUUCCACGGGUAGCGGUGAAAGGCGUAGGGAUUUGGAGGAACCCCGGUGGGGAAGGCGGCUUUUUGG